AGGGCACCACCAGGAGUGGAGCCUGCGGCUUAAUUUGACUCAACACGGGAAAUCUCACCAGGCCCGGACACCGGAAGGAUUGACAGAUUGAGAGCUCUUUCUUGAUUCGGUGGGUGGUGGUGCAUGGCCGUUCUUAGUUGGUGGAGCGAUUUGUCUGGUUAAUUCCGAUAACGAACGAGACUCUGGCCUACUAAAUAGACGUUAGAUCCCUUUGUGGGUCUAUCGCAGCUUCUUAGAGGGACGGGCGGCGUUCAGCCGCACGAGAUUGAGCAAUAACAGGUCUGUGAUGCCCUUAGAUGUUCUGGGCUUCACGCGCGCUACACUGAAGGAAUCAGCGUGUGUUCCCUGCCCGAAAGGACUGGGAAACCCGUUGAACCUCCUUCGUGAUGGGGAUUGGGGAUUGCAAUUAUUCCCCAUGAACGAGGAAUUCCCAGUAGGCGCGAGUCAUAAGCUUGCGUCGAUUACGUCCCUGCCCUUUGUACACACCGCCCGUCGCUACUACCGAUCGAGUGAUUUAGU
rnacentral:rRNA from 1 species